rnacentral:rRNA from 1 species
UACGUAGGGGGCAAGCGUUAUUCGGAUUCACUGGGCGUAAAGGGUGCGCAGGCGGCCAAGUGUGUGAGGCGUGAAAGCCCGGGGCUUAACCCCGGAAUUGCACCUCAAACUACAUGGCUAGAGCAUUGGAGAGGGUAGCAGAAUUCAUGGUGUAGCAGUGAAAUGCGUAGAUAUCAUGAGGAAUACCAGAGGCGAAGGCGGCUACCUGGACAAUUGCUGACGCUCAGGCACGAAAGCGUGGGGAGCAAAAGGG